GCGGGUUCCCAUGGUCUCCCACCGAGCCCAGCCGCCGCGCCAAGCAGUGACGCGUAUAUCCACCCAGGAUAAUAAGCACCAAAAAGAAUCGGACUAGGGCCACCGCACGCGGCCGACUGACCGCCGCGACUAAUCGCACCACGACUUUGUCGCGCCAUAGCGUACGCAACUAUUGUCUACAUAGGCAAUCAUCUUUAGGUAGCAUUCUUACUAAUGUAGGAUGUUUGUAAUAAUUAGAUAUAGAAGGACUGUGUUAUAAAAUACUAGUUUUCCGGCCGCGGCUUCGCCCGUGUGAAAUUUUGUCUGUCACAGAAAAACUUUAUCGCGCGCGUCCCUGUCUUAAAAACCGGGAUAAAAACUAUCCUAUGUCAUUUCCCGGGACUCCUAUGUCAUCUCUAUGCCUCAUCAAAAACGGUUAAGUGGUUUAGGCGUGAAAGCAAGACAGACAGAGUUACUUUCGCAUUUAUAAUAUUAGUAUAGACUAGCUGUGCCCGCGACUUCGUACGCGUAAAAAUAGUUUGAAUGAUAUUUCCCGUUUUUGCAACAUUUUUCUUUACUGCUCCGCCCCUAUUGGCUGUAGGGUGAUGUUAUAUAGACUAAGCCUUUCUUCGAUAAAUGUGACAGAAUGUCAAGGAUAUGAUGAUGUCAUGACAUUGCUGCAUUGCAUUUAAAUUUCGCGUAAAGUUAGCAAACUUUAGUUCAUCGAAAUCUGUUCAGCAUUAAUGAUUAUAGCCUACUUGUAUAAAGUUAUAUUAGUUGGUGACUGAGUUUCUUGCGCUACUUCUUCUCAGCACUGGCCCAUUUAUUGUCCCGAAGCAGUGGUAGGGUUAAUACUGGGACGUGUAAAAGUGCUUUUUAAAGCCUACUUACAGAAAUUAAUUAGUUUUUUCUGUUUUUUAUGAGUCCUUCUACAUCUAUUGUUACUAUAGUUUUUAGCAUAAUCAGUUAUUACCAAAUAUGGUAAAAGAAGAUGUAUAUCUUCAAUUAUAUACUUCAAUAAAUAAAUAUAGAUCGUUUCAUCCACUCGGCCGCGCCCCAGCAAUGUUUGGACCCGGUCGCGCGGGGUGCGGGGAGUGUGGUCCGAGCAAUCCGUAAGGCAUUACUGUAGUGUGCGUGUGCACUCAUGGAGCAUUAGCGUGUACCGAUAACACUCAAACAUUAGCGGAAGAAUGGUGGGGCGCGUCUUCGUGGAUGAAACGAUCUAAUACUCCUUCAUGAACUAUGUGGGGCCACCAAUAUCAAUCAAAUAUCAGAGAAGUCUUAUGGAUAUAGUAUAUUGCAUUUAUACAAUAAAUUACUACUCCACCUCCUAAGGGCCUGUUCACACCGCAAUUCAGCAAUGGGAUGGGAGGUGUCGUAGCUAUAAUAAUACUAAACUGUCAUACAGUAAAUUGUAUUGUUUGUACGUUUUUCUAAAGUUUAUUAUAUUUAGAUUUGACCAGAUACUAGUAAAUAAAUAAAAUAUUUUUAAUUAAAACAAAUAGUGAAAUGUGACUUGUCAAAAGAACAAUAAAAAUUUAUAUUUUCUUAAAAAAAUAACAAUUGUUUGUCAGUAAAAAAUAGCAAAAAAACGUAAUCCUCCUUCUAGCGCAGUCAGGUAAUACGGGUAGUCGGGCCUUUUCAAGUCAAGAGUGAAUAAGCACUUACAGGGCAGCUAUGUACCAUCCUAGACUGCAUCUCACUUAACAUCAGGUGCGAUUGCGGUCAAACACCUACCUUGUUCUGCAUAAAAAAUAUAAAUACAAAAAGUACACAGUACUGUUUGUCUGCCAUAAUCAUUCAUCAUCAUCAGGUCAUUUAGUCUCCACUGCAGGAGCACGACUCUCUAAUUGACCAGAGGCAAAUGGAUUUGUACACUUCCUACGCUGGCCAGACGGGUUGAAGAGCCUUUAUUCCCACUGUCCACCCUGGGUGGCCAGUGUCACAACUUUAAAAAAAUGAUUCCCCCUGUUCCCCUUAGUCUAUUUUAGAGAAACCACACAGUUUGUUUGUGACGUUAAAUAACCACUGCCACAUAUUAUGGUCUUUUACACAACUUGAUUAAUUUUUGAAAAUUACACCGUCUCUUUCUUUUCCUAUACACAAGAGACAGCACGAUAUACUAUAUUUGGUCAUAUCUUUGUAUUUAGACUAGUAAUAUAGGCUGUGAUGUUAAUGAAUUAGAAUAUAAUCUGUGGGUGUUUCAAUAGCUUUUAUAAACAUAAAUUAUGUCAGUCAGUAGCUUUACUAGAUGUCAGCAGUGUACAGUCAGCGUCCAAUAGUUCGUGACACCGAAAGUGGCGAAAAAGUUGACAACACAACCUUAUUCCAAUUGUAACAAAGACGUUUUGCGAACUUUUGGCUACUUUGGGUGUUGCGUUGUCGCGGUGUGCGAAGUUAUGGCCAAUUAUUAUGUAACAAA